GGGUUAGUAGGUUGGUCGUGCCUAUGGUAUGUACUGGCUUUACUGAUUCCUUCUUCUUGAAGAACUGUAAUGUCAUUAAUUUGGUGUUGCAGGGAAACAGGAUUGUUACUUUGAAAAAAUUAGAGUGUUUAAAGCAGGCUAACGCUUGAAUACAUUAGCAUGGAAUAAUGGAAUAGGGCGUUUGAUCCUAUUUUGUUGGUUUCUAGGAUUGAUGUA
rnacentral:rRNA from 1 species